ACGUGCUUUUUUGCCUAAUUUAACAAAAAGAAGAGGCUUUACUGCUGGGUUUAAGAAGUACAGUAUUAAAACAAAAGUCAUGAGUCUUUUAAGCCCAGCGUGUAAAGAUACACUCUGAGUUAUAACUCAUAGGCACAAUG